rnacentral:rRNA from 1 species
GUUGGGUACUUAUUCAGGAGUGCUUUGGUGCCUUCGGGAACCCUGAGACAGGUGCUGCAUGGCUGUCGUCAGCUCGUGUUGUGAAAUGUUGGGUUAAGUCCCGCAACGAGCGCAACCCUUAUCCUUUGUUGCCAGCGGUCCGGCCGGGAACUCAAAGGAGACUGCCAGUGAUAAACUGGAGGAAGGUGGGGAUGACGUCAAGUCAUCAUGGCCCUUACGAGUAGGGCUACACACGUGCUACAAUGGCAUAUACAAAGAGAAGCGACCUCGCGAGAGCAAGCGGACCUCAUAAAGUAUGUCGGAAUUGCGGAUUGGAGUCUGCAACUCGACUCCAUGAAAUCCGAAAUCGCUAGUAAUCGAGGGAUCAGAAAUGCCACGGUGAAAUAGGUUCCCGGGGCCUUGGAAAACCCCGGAAAA